UACGUAGGGUGCAAGCGUUGUCCGGAAUUAUUGGGCGUAAAGAGCUCGUAGGCGGUUUGUCACGUCGGAUGUGAAACCCUGAGGCUCAACCUCAGGCCUGCAUUCGAUACGGGCAGACUAGAAUUCGGCAGGGGAGACUGGAAUUCCUGGUGUAGCGGUGAAAUGCGCAGAUAUCAGGAGGAACACCGGUGGCGAAGGCGGGUCUCUGGGCCGAUAUUGACGCUGAGGAGCGAAAGCGUGGGGAGCAAACAGGAUUGAGAUACCC
rnacentral:rRNA from 1 species